UGAAUACAAAGUAACUUAUUAAAGACCUGAGUAAAUUUGAAGGUAAAUUACGAUGUUCUAGAUUUGCUAAGCAUGUUGCAUCAAAUUAAUCUUACUUUAAAUAUCUUCUGGAAUACAGAUGAUAAAAGUUGAUGGAUAUGUAUGAUAGCUGAUUUCAAUAUUAAAGUAUUGAGGGCUGGGGAUUUGGCUCAGUGGUUCUGCUGCCUGCCUCACAAGUGGAAGGUCCCGAGUUCGAUCUUCGGUACCAAAAAAAACCACUAAAAUAUUGAAUAAAAUAUUCUUUUUAUUUGAAGUAAAUGGUUGUUUUCUUUUUUUAUGAAUAAAUUAAGUCAUAUGUAUAGAUUUGAUCUAUAAUUUGGUAUAGCAAUUUCCUUAUCCACUGUUUGGCUUUCUGAGGUUUCAUUUAUCUGGAAUCAACUGUGGUCUGAAAAUAUUCAAUGGAAAAUUCCAGAUAUAAGUAAUUCAUAAGUUUUAAAUGGCACUCCAUUCUGAGCAGCUUGAUGACAUCUCUCACCUUGCAUUUUGUCUCAUUUGGAAUAACCGGGGAUCGAACUCAGGACCUUGUGCUUGUGAGCUAAAUCCCCAGCCUGUACACAGUUGUUUUUUAUUCUUACUAUUAUCGAGUUUUGGCUUUUUAUUUUGUUUUGUUUACAAUUCUAGGGAUUGAACCCAGGGCCUUGAACAUGCUAGGCAAGUGCUUUACCACCGAACUCUGUCCCCAGCUCCAUUUUCAAGUAUUAUGUGCUGUACAUAGCUGUGUGUUCUGUUAUUAUAUGACUGGCGCAGGAUAGUAUGUUUGCACUAGUAUCAGCUCAGAUGUGAGCACUGUAUAAUGCUUUGAUGUUAUGAUGGACACAGUGUCACUAGGCAAUAGGAAUUUUUCAGAUCUGUUAUAAUCUUAUGGGGCUACUGUUGUGUAUACAGUCUUUCAAUGAUAAAGACAUCUGGUGCAUAAUUGCAUUGUUAAAUUGUUCUAAUUUAAUAUCAUUGCUAACUUUAUCAGAGGUGUAUAUGCAUAGGAAAAAAUGUACAUAUAGAGUUUGGUACUAUCUGCAGUUUCAGGCAUCCACUGGGAGUCAUGUAACAUAGUCCCUGUGGAUAAGGGGGGACUAUUGUGUAGUUAUAAUCUCUGGUGAAACUGCAUGUAAAGUAUGAGACAACUUUACACAAAAUAUACUUGAUUGUAUCAGUAAUAACACAUAAUAGGCGAUGUUUUAUUCUAUGUACUUUGCACCUAAUGGACACUUAGUAAAUACUGAAUUUCAAUCUAUUGAAUAUAUUUUGAAAGCUGACAAUUAGAGUUGCAAAAUUUUAACCCUAGUAGGUUUGGUCAAAUUUGGCUCCAGAUAUGUUGCUUGCCUUGUAGCAUUAAAAAGUAAUUGCCUUUAUGACUGUGUUUUCAUUACUCUGUUAUUUACAACUAGCCUGCUGCCACAUUUAGGUUACUUUCUGGUCACCUGUAGGUGACUCAAAUGAAACCAGUUUGAUAUAUCAGUAUACUGUACUGUAAUAUGGGAGGAACUCUAAAAUUCCGGUCUGUUUUGGCCUUUAUCUGGUGAUAAUUAAAACAUAAUCUAAGAUUAAAUCCAGAGGGUGGUAUUAUAACAUUCAGAAAGUUCUGAAUUCGUAUAGAAUACUAUAAUGAAAAAAAUUAAUCCAUGUACAUAGACACUAUUUUUUAUUAACGAUUUUUUAUGGCCUUGUAAAGUUUAAUUUACUUUAAAUACAGUGAUGGAAUAUUGCUUGUUAUUUAGAUUUUUACAAAAUGGUAAGUUUUAUAAAUUGUUGACUUUUUUUAAAAGAUAGCUUUGUAUUUUUAGCACAAAAAUCUUUUAGAGUAAAACUACACUUUUAAUGUAGUUGUUGGAGGGGUUGUGAUAAAUUCGAGGGUCUCCUUGAGCUGUGGUCCCUGCUGUUUCUGAUAUAUUGUGCUGGCAGUGUUCAAGCGGUGGCUGGAGUGCAGAGACUGGGGAGUUGAGAGUAAGAGAUUGAAGUUCAGCUAUUGUAUGUGGUGAAUUCAUGAAUAAGCUUGGCCGUUACUGUUCCUGGAUCUCAGUUUAGGUAAAUCAAAGACAGAUAACUUGCAAGGACAAUUUUAUAAGUCCUACAAAGUGUCUUGAAUUUCUAUUUUUAAAAGCAGUUCAAUUUCUAUUUUCCAUUUAUGUACAAAAUUCUAUUUCAGCAUGCUUGUUUAUUCUAGACCAAGAAAUGCAAAUAAUACUGUUGAUUUGACAUUCUGUACAACAGAGUAAAAUAUUUGUUAAACAAGUGCCUCACAGAGUACCAUGACAAGUUUCCCAAAGCCUUGCUGUGUGUUUCAGUUUCCAGGCAUUGGUAGUCUUAAUUUAGGCAACUGAUUUUUAAAUUUCUCUGCUUAAAUAUGUACUUUCUGCUCAAAUUGAGUCCCCUAAAGUCAAGGUAGGGCUGUAUAGGUCCCAGGUUUUAGCUCCUCUUUUACAAUUGCUCUUUUCCUCUCUGCAGAAGAAAAGUUUAUUUUUCACCUGUUCUAAUCUUGUUCUGGUACAUUUCCCAUAGUACAGGAAAAUUUCUAAAACACUAUUAAAUAAAGGAACAGUUUGAUACAGUCUCUGAAAGCCUAUUCAGUGAUUCGAGCUUCCAUCUUAUUUUUAUAUUUUGCAUGAUUUUAAAUAAGAGAAAGCUUCAGUGUUAACUAUCAACAGUCAACAUCGCAUCUUUAAAUAAAACUUUUUCCUGAUUAUUAGAAGAAACAUUUUCAUUAACUUUGCCAAAAAGCUAGUAGAAUGUUUAAGUCCUUUAUUUUAACUUUGAAAAUUUACUGCUUAUUAAUAUGAAUUUUUAAUUCUUUGCUUUUUAUUUAUCCCUACCAUGUGGAGUAAGUUAUAGAUUCUAAAAUCUGUAUUGUUAAUAUCAUGUAAAUAAUGCACACAAAUAAUGUUUAUUAUUAGGUCUCAUACUUAAUAACCUUUUCGCUGUUGAUUUCCUUUGAACUGUUUGUCAUUCCAGCAGUUAACAGUUUUUAUCCCAUGAUAUAUCAUGUAAUUUUCAAAAAGACAUUUCAUUGACACAUUACCAAUAAACUUUUACAUUUCUUUCAAUUCAGUGGAUAUUUACUGAGCACCUGCUAUGUGUUGGCCAUUCUCCCAAAUGGUUAAGAUACAUUGGUAAACAAAACACAUAAAUUCCUUCCUUCCUGGUGCUCUCAUUCUCAUGAGGGAGACAGAAAAUAAAUAUAAUAAAUGAGAAAAUUGAGAUGAUUUGCUUUCAUGCAAAAAAAUUUACUUUUUACAUUUAAUGUUUCAAAAAUACAAAAUUUAAGAAAUUGAGUCAGAAUUAUUUUCUCUUGAGAAUUCUGUUCUCUGAAAAUUUUAAAAU
rnacentral:lncRNA from 1 species